GCAUCUGACAUGCAUGCGAAGUAGAGGGCCUUCAUAUCCAGACCUCCAUGAAGGUUUAUAUCAGAUAAUUUGAGAUUUGAUCUCUAGUUUCACUACAAUUCAGAUAAGGAUUUGAUCCUUAAAUAAGUAGAAUAUUAGAAAAAAUUUUUAGAUACAACCUGGGCAUUCUGGAGGAAAAUUGUUUCCUUCUCUUCAGUUUGAAGCUGGG
rnacentral:lncRNA from 1 species